CCUACGGGAGGCAGCAGUGGGGAAUAUUGGGCAAUGGAGGCAACUCUGACCCAGCAACGCCGCGUGAAUGAUGAAGGUCUUCGGAUUGUAAAGUUCUGUGAUGGGGGAUGAACACAAUGACGGUACCCGAAUAGCAAGCCACGGCUAACUACGUGCCAGCAGCCGCGGUAAUACGCAGGUGGCAAGCGUUAUACGGAAUGACUGGGCGUAAAGGGUGCGUAGGUGGUUUUGUAAGUUGGCGGUGUAAUUCCGGGGCUCAACCUCGGCGCUACCGCCGAAACUAUUAGUCUAGAGUGCAGGAGGGGUAUGUGGAAUGCCUAGUGUAGCGGUGAAAUGCGUAGAUAUUAGGAGGAACACCAGGGGCGAAGGCGGCAUACUGGA
rnacentral:rRNA from 1 species